rnacentral:rRNA from 5 species
UUAAGUGACGAUAGCCUAGGAGAUACACCUGUUCCCAUGCCGAACACAGCAGUUAAGCCCUAGAACGCCUGAAGUAGUUGGGGGUUGCCCCCUGUUAGAUAUGGUAGUCGCUUAGC